GUUGUGCGGUGCCGAGUGUCGUUUUUGUCCAUGUGAGAAACUUUCUGGUUUAUUCGGUAUUUAACACAUAUCAAGAAGUGUUGGAUAAUUUAUCGACAAACUGCUAUUGAUUGGAGUGUGAUAUUUUUUAAGUGAUGGUAGCGCAUGAUUUAGUGUGUCAUCACCUGAUAGACAAAAGUUUUGUUUUGUUAGUGAUAUGAUAAAAAGAGUCACAAGAAUAUGAACUAUUACCUGCCAUAGCACAUCUUUAAAUCCCGACUACAGCAUUUUUAUCCUAGUGCAUGCCAGUCCUGGAUCCUUUACCUCAAAUAGUGGAGUGCAUGCUUGCCUCUACUUCUGGUAUACAAUGCAGGAGGCUGUGUGUGACUGGAAGUCAGCCCUUUGUCGUCCCAGCUGGUUGGACCCCCUCAUACAUCACGACACAUGUUCAAGCCUGAAGGAUUAAAGAUCUGUGCCGAGUCACGUGUCCAUGUCUCCGCCCUCGCAAGUGCUUCCUUAACGCAAGAACUAUGAGUAAUUUUGGAAACCAGCAUUGAUUUUAAUCUGUUUAGGGCCACCUUCCCCAUAUUGUGAGAGAUAGGAUUGGUCCAUGUGCGGACAAACUGCAUUUACUUUUCCCA